rnacentral:rRNA from 1 species
GACGAACGCUGGCGGCGUGCUUAACACAUGCAAGUCGAACGGAAAGGCCCUGCUUUUGUGGGGUGCUCGAGUGGCGAACGGGUGAGUAACACGUGAGUAACCUGCCCUUGACUUUGGGAUAACUUCAGGAAACUGGGGCUAAUACCGGAUAGGAGCUCCUGCUGCAUGGUGGGGGUUGGAAAGUUUCGGCGGUUGGGGAUGGACUCGCGGCUUAUCAGCUUGUUGGUGGGGUAGUGGCUUACCAAGGCUUUGACGGGUAGCCGGCCUGAGAGGGUGACCGGCCACAUUGGGACUGAGAUACGGCCCGAACUCCUAAGGGAGGCAGCAGUGGGGAAUAUUGCACAAUGGGCGGAAGCAUGAUGCAGCAACGCCGCGUGCGGGAUGACGGCCUUCGGGUUGUAAACAGCUUUCGCCUGUGACGAAGCGUGAGUGACGGUAAUGGGUAAAGAAGCACCGGCUAACUACGUG